AGUAGAUACCAGGCCAACCCAGGUGAGAGUCACUGGGCAGCGGUAAAGACUAUUUUGAUGUACCUGAAAAUGACUAAAGAGAUGUUCCUAGUUUAUGGAGGUGGGGAAGAGCUCGCCGUAAGGGGUUACGCCGAUGCUAGUUUCCAAACCGACAGAGAUGAUUGUCGAUCACAGUCCGGAUUCGUUUACGUCAUGAAAGGAGGAGCAGUGAGCUGGAUGAGUUCUAAGCAAGAUACGGUGGCCGAUUCUACUACAGAAGCCGAAUACAUUGCGGCUUGUGAAGCUGCAAAGGAAGGUGUUUGGAUCCAGAACUUUCUGGAUGAUCUUGGUAUUUUCCCAACCUCGGUAAAACCGUUGGACCUUUAUUGUGAUAAUUCCGGUGCCAUCGCACAAGCCAAGGAGCCGAGGAAUCACCACAAGGUCAGACACAUAGAUCAUAAAUAUCACCUGAUACGAAAGAUCGUAAAGAGUGGUGAUGUAGAGUUAUGCAAAAUUCACACGGAUGCAAAUGUUGCGGAUCCGUUGACUAAGCCGCUUCCACAACCCAGACAUGAGGGGCACGUUAGAGCUAUGGGC
rnacentral:rRNA from 1 species